AACAUAAUCAUCUGGCUGAAGUGAGCUUUUGCUUCGUCUGCCACUUAUUCGUUGGGGUUUUGUACUGCAGAAAGCGAGUUCAUCAAAGUAAGAGUUAGAAGCAUACCAUGACGGUGCGAAGUAAACGGCUAAAACAAAUGGGGCAACGCGAAAACAGCCGAUCGUUAUGUAGUUAAUUUGGGAUUUCCGAACUCAAAUAGAAGGCGAAAGGGGAACGACAAUCGUUCACAACACAGUAGUUGGAUCGGAUCGUUGGGAAGAAAUUAUGAGGAUAAUUAAUUCUCAUGUUCCAUCAAGAAGAACCGUCAUCGAAUGGAAAAAAGCAAGCAUGUAGAUUCCAUUUGUACUAUUUUUUGUUUUUGCAGAAUAUAGGCUGACUUGCAAAGCCGGAGAGAGCCGAAUCGUGAUCAAUUAAGCCGAUCAAAUAUUAUAUCUACCACUACGUACUACGAUCAGGAACUGACAGUGGCAAAAUCCACUUGAGCAACCUGAGGCAGCAAAGAAAAAUAAUGAGACGCAACAAUGCUGCAGGUGGAAGUAACAAACAGAUUGAAUGCGCCAUAUAAAGUUUGUCCGAAAUGUUAAAAACAUUUCUGGAAUACUUACAAGACGAUUUAUGUUGUUCCUGACCUCACCUAGAACUGAAGAUUUUUAGUCUAAAGAUGUUUUUUAGGUUUAAGACUGAAGUGAUAUUUUAUUUCGCUAGAUUUAAGGGUGAAAUAUUUAAUUUUUUUAGACUUAAGGUCGAAACGAUUUUUUUUCAACUUUUUGUAAAUAUUUUGUCCACGUAAUUGAAUUUGCACGUUAGGGUGUGUUGGAAAUUAUGCCCAUUUAAAGUAAAAUGUGUAGGAAAAAAUUUAAUGUAGGUCUGUAAGAUAUUAAAGAAAUGCAUCAAAAAGUCAUUCAUAAUUGAGCCGACUACGUAAUCUACUUUAAGCCGUAAUGGAGAUAAACGAUGGUAGACAGACCCGGAAUGUGGCACCUUUCGAAAACAGCUACUUUAUUUUUUGCGACUUUAACCACCGAUGACGUCAUCUUUCAAAUAAGCAAGCAAAUGGAGAACAAUUUACACGAUUUCGCAUAUUUAGAGCACAGCUUAGUGAAUAUUGUGAUAUUAAGAUUUGAGAUUUUUAAAUUAAACAAACUAAUAUAAAAAUGAAUUACCGCAAGUUACAUUGCGAACGAACGAAUUAUCCACAUUACUUAUACAGUAGGUUCUGUUUUUAUGCGGUAGAUACGUUCCGCAAGAAACAGCAUAAAAAAAGCUACUAGUUCUAUAGUAAAACUAUAGAUACGUUUCAAAUGCUAAAACCGCAUAAAUCUGAAAUAAUGUAAUAAAAUCGCAUAAAAAAGGGCACUAGUCCCAUAUUAUUACUAUAGAUACGUUCCAUAGACCGUAUGAAUCUGAAAUAAUUAAAUAAAAUCGCAUAAACAAAA